AUUGAACGCUGGCGGCAUGCUUUACACAUGCAAGUCGAACGGCAGCACGGGCUUCGGCCUGGUGGCGAGUGGCGAACGGGUGAGUAAUAUAUCGGAACGUACCCAGAAGUGGGGGAUAACGUAGCGAAAGUUACGCUAAUACCGCAUACGAUCUAUGGAUGAAAGCAGGGGACCGCAAGGCCUUGUGCUCCUGGAGCGGCCGAUAUCUGAUUAGCUAGUUGGUGAGGUAAAGGCUCACCAAGGCGACGAUCAGUAGCUGGUCUGAGAGGACGACCAGCCACACUGGAACUGAGACACGGUCCAGACUCCUACGGGAGGCAGCAGUGGGGAAUUUUGGACAAUGGGCGCAAGCCUGAUCCAGCAAUGCCGCGUGAGUGAGGAAGGCCUUCGGGUUGUAAAGCUCUUUUGUCAGGGAAGAAACGGUAGAGGCUAAUAUCCUUUGCUAAUGACGGUACCUGAAGAAUAAGCACCGGCUAACUACGUG
rnacentral:rRNA from 1 species